CCAAAAACAACAAAAAAACCAAUAGAAAAUCAAAAAGUUACUGUUACAUUGAGGCCCUUAGAUCAGUUUCAGCUUAUUUUAGCAAUCGUUUUAAAUCCUUAGCCUAGUUUGAAGAGGAGAAUAGCUAGAGAGUUCUAGUGUUUGGUUAUUGAUGUGAUUGAGCUUGUUUCUAGGUCAAUUUCAACAUUGUUUUGAUAACUCAAACUUGUUUGAUCAAUUGUUGGUGUUGUGGUUUCCUUCACUCAUCUCUGGGUUGAUUCUGAUAUAUUUGUUGGGCUGUGAACUUGCUUCUGAGUUGUCAUAUGACUUCCUGCUCAUUGUUGUUGAUCCUCACUUGUUUCACUUUCUAUAUUCUACGUACAUAGUUGUACUUUUGAUAAUUGUGAGCUGAAACUGAUGAAGCAUGAAUUUACCUGAAGGAUCGAGCUUUUAUUUAUUGCAUUUCUAGAUUUAUCUGUGCAACACGUAGUUCAUUGAUGAUGUUGAAUUUAUUCUUAUUUUUGUAUAUAAUAGGACUAUUAUGGUCUUACUUGUUUAGUGCAUUUCUAGAUUUAUGUAUGCAACACGUAGUUCAUUUAUGAUGUUUAAUUUCUGCUUAUUUUUGUAUAUAAUAGGACUAUUAUGGACUGUUUAAAAUUGUGGUUGUCCGGCUAUAGUUUUUCAGUAUAGUUUAGUGUUUGUUUAUAGUUUAGUGUUUUGUUAAUCAAUAAAAGUCAGAAAAUAUUUUGGAUUUGUAAUUGACUACCAGGAUAAGAUGGCCACAACAAGUUUAAUUUCAAGCUGAAUGUAUGUCCGAGCCCUUGCCUAUAAAAGCCAUGCCUCUUGCCUUCUCUACCAGUUUCGGAGCUCCAAAAACCUUCCCCCAAAAAAUCAUUCUGCAGAUCUGACUUUCCUAAUUUGAAUUUCAAAUCUCAAAACCUUCAAAAAACCAAAAACAACAAAAAACCCAAUAGAAAAUCAAAACAUUGCUGUUACAUUGAGGCCCUUAGAUCAGUUUCAGCUUAUUUUAGCAAUUGUUUUAAAUCCUUAGCCUAGUUUGAAGAGAAGAAUAGCUAGAGAGUUCUAGUGUUUGGUUAUUGAUGUGAUUGAGCUUGUUUCUGGGUCAAUUUAAACUCUAUUUUGAUAACUCAAACUCGUUUGGUCAAUUGUUGGUGCUGUGGUUUCCUUCACUCAUCUCUGGGUUGAUUCUGAUACAUUUGUUGGGCUGUGAACUUGCUUCUGAGUUGUCUUUUGACUGCCUGCCCAUUGUUGUUGAUCCUCACUUGUUUCAGUUUCUAUAUUCUACGUACACAGUUGUACUUUUGAUAAUUGUGAGCUGAAACUGAUGAAGCAUGAAUUUACCUGAAGGAUCGAGCUUUUAUUUAUUGCAUUUCUAGAUUUAUCUGUGCAACACGUAGUUCAUUGAUGAUGUUGAAUUUAUUCUUAUUUUUGUAUAUAAUAGGACUAUUAUGGUCUUAAAAGUGUGGUUGUCUGGCUAUAGUUUUUCAGUAUAGUUUAGUGCUUGUCUAUAGUUUAGUGUUUUGUUAAACAAUAAAAAUUAGAAAAUAGUUUGGGUUUGUAAUUGACUUCUAAACCAGCAUAAGAUGGUCACAUCAAGUUUAAUUUCAAGCUAAAUGUAUGUCCUAAGCCACUUUGAAUUGCAGUAGGUGAUAUUAGCAGAUUAAUUUGGGGCAUCAACCUCUUCGUGUCAAUGUUAAUAGAAUCAUAUAAUCCAGCUGCUUAGUGUAGUCACUUGAAAUUCCUGUUCACGAACUAUUUUUCUGUUAAAUUCUAUUUGUGUUUCCAGGUCAUUUCCACCCUCAGCGAUAUUUAGGAGGUCACCAAUAGAUAAGUAAACAAGGAAAGUGAGUUGUAAUAUUAAAUCUGAUUUGACCUGAAAUCCGGGCUGUUUUCAAGUUUGCCAUUGCUAAGCCUAAUUUUCAAUUGUGAGGCUGAAGGCAACUCGCACAAGCCUUCAUGAAUUUGAUGGAUAUAUUUUUUUCCUGGGCUAAACUUGAGGCCCAAAAGGGAAUUGAUGAGACUCUUAUGAAAACCAUGGACCGAAGUAUAGUAGUGUGUGAACAAUAUUAAAUGAUUAGGACUUUUCCUGUUAUUAUUAGAUACAAAUAAAAAUAAAAAAUUAUAAUGCUUUUAGUUUUGCCUUUUUAAAUAAUAAAUAAGAUGAGCCUCGCUAAACAAAGCACAUAAAUCACGGGGUCCUCAAAUAAAUAUUAUAUUAAAAUAUUUAGAUUUCAGAAUGGGUCGUUUAGCGAAUUUCAAGUCCAUCCCCAAAGAUAAUAAUGCGUUUGUCACUUUUAGCGCGAUUUUAAUAAAAUUAGCUUCCUAAACUCGGGUGCGUAUUUAUGUAACCCAAAUUCAAAUCUCAACGAAGUUGAAAUGUGUCAACAACUACGGGUGCAUUGAUGUGACGUGGUUCGAGACAUGUUUUCACCAUGUUGCCAUUCUCGUUAAAAAUAAUAACAAAAUUGGUUCGAAGCUAAAAAAAACAUAAUCUAAAAUAUGUUUUGACAUCAGACAAAUCCAAAUAUAACAGUUGAGUGACCGUACUAGAACCACGGAACCCGUGAAUUCCUAACACCUUCUCCCGGAUUAAUAGAAUUCCUUACUCGGAUUUCUGGUUCGUGGACUGUCAAACAGAGUCAUUCUUUCCUCAAUUCGGUAUUCUAAAUCGGUGAAUUGGGACACCAUUAAUCUCUUAAGUGGCGACUCUAAAUUUUAAUAACAAAUCCUGUUUCGAUUGUCCUUUAGGUGGAAAAACUCAUUUACGCCCUUGAGGGUGUACUCAAAACGGAGGUGUGACACCCAUCCAAAUAAAAAUUCAAAAGCCCCAGGCAAAGAAACUGGGGCAAAAGUUGUGGUUAUGUAAAGAUUUAAUUCCAAACGUUGUAAUUACGAACCCACACAAUUUCUUUUCAGCCUUUACCCUUUUUUUCUAACCCCAUCCAAAAGCCCACAUUACGGUCCAAAGAAAGACUUUGCGACCAAUAUUUGAGAGUUACAAGUCAAGAAAGAUAUAGGUAUGAUUCAAACUAGGUGCAAAACUCCGGUCUAAGCAGAAAAAUUGAAAAAAUGAGAGAGUUUUAUUGGUAAAAAUCCUCACAAGCACCGUAAGGCGAUUGAAAGAUGAGAGAAAUUUAAAAUGCGACUGUCUUAUUGGUGAAAACCUUCACGAUCAUCAUAAGGAGAUAGUGAGUUGAGGAAUGUACAAAUGAGAGAGGUUCGUUGGUGAAAACAAGGUCAGUGACUUAGCGAAAAGAUUGGAUUAUGGAGAUCCCGAGACAUAAAGUAUGACAACUGAAAGGUGAUUGAUUGAAUAGGCUAGUCUGAUUAAUCCGAAAUGCAUGUCAUGAUCAUUGGUGCCAGUUGUUUCACUCAGAUAAGUCUCUUCUUUUUCUCUCCUUCAAACAAUCAUCCAACUUUAUAUUUUCUUCUUUAUUCCCAACUCUCGAAGUCAUUGCAUUUCAAUUAUUCUGGCUUUAUUGGUCUAAGGUUUUUCCAAUAUCAGCCUUAUUUAAGCAUGUGAGAAAGGAUUUCAAAGCUGACUACCAACUUCCAAUUUGCACAAAGCAACAUGCGGCCAAAACAUACCAGAGAUGGCAUGAUGCAAAAUGGGAAAUAACGUGUCAGUGAAAGUUCCAUUGGUCGAAUUAUUUGGGAAUUUCGUGAAAGAUACAGAUGUUCAGGAAGAAGGAUAGAAAUGUAAAACAGCAGGUUGGGUGUAGAGCAUUCGGGUCAUGCAAGGUCCUGUGGUUGGGAUUCAGUCAGAAAGUCAAACAAAUGUUGGUUGGUUCAAAGCAGCCAGUUAGAACAAAGCACGGCAGUGGGAAGGCCACCAUUAGAAAGAAUGCCAAAAACUAACCACCACAUUUUUCAAACUGAUAAAGCUAUCUUUGACUGAAGUAGGGGCAGGAAAUAUCGUUUGUUCUGGAGGAACCCUCCGUAAGGAAAGCAUGUACCGGACAGGUUCGACCGUAAAUUCUAAGGACCCGACUGGAUAAUGGAAUUUAGUUGGAAGUUCUCAGGACCCUCCUGGACAAUGGGAUUUAGUUAAAAUUCAAAACAUUCAUGAGUAACAAGAUCUAGCAUAAGCUCUACUUUGAGGAAAUAUAAGUUGGUUUUGAGGUUUCCAUUCUUAUGACGAGAUUUAUUUGGAAAUUUUUAGGACCCUCCGGGAUAAUGGGAUUUAUAUUUUUAGACCUUCAUAGAUAAAAAGAAUUAGCGUAAGUCAUAAUACCUAAUUUGAAGUUUUCAGGACCCUUUUGGAUAAUGGGGCCUAGCUUUAAAACCCUUGGAGAUAUUGGGAAACAUGAUUCAAUUAACACUUACAGAUGUCCCCAACUACCAAAUUGAGGCAGCGAAAUUUCUUUUAUUUUAUCUGUUUUGUUGUCAUCAGGCGCCCACCUAGAGAACAAGGGAAGGCAUCACGAGUUUUGAGAAUAGAAACUAGUUCAAGUUAAAACAAUCAGGCACCCACCUAGAGAAUAAAGAGAAAGCAGCAAUAUCUAAAAGAAAACAACUUAAGUUUCGAAGGAAAACAAUUCAAAUUUCAGGGGAAAGGAAUACAAUUCAAAUGUUGGUAAUCAGACACCCACCUGGAGAAUAAAGGGAAAGCAGCAAUGUCUAAAGGGAGAUGGUUCAAUUUCAGCAGUCAGGAGCCCACCUGGAGAACAAGGGAAAACGAGUAAAGUUUCAAGGGAAAAGAAGUGCAAGUGUUGGAAGUCAGUCACCCACUUGGAGAACAAGGAGAAUCAGUUCAAGUCUCAAGGAAAAAUAGUACAAGUGUUGGAAAUAAGUCACCCACCUGGAGAACAAGGGAAAACAUGUCAAGUUUCGAUGAAAAGCAAUCCAGGUUCUGGCAAUCAGGCACCCACCUAGAGAGCAAGGGAGUACAAUUAAGUUUUGGAAAUCAGGUGCCCACCUGGAGAGCAAUGGAAUAGACUAAAAGUUUUGGCAACCAGGCAACCAGGCACCCACCUAGAGAGAAGGGAAUACAGUUCAAGUUUUGGCAAUCAGGCGCCCACCUAGAAGGGAAGGGAGUACAGCUAAAGUUUUGGCGAUCAGACACCCACUUGGAGAAUAGGUAAAUCAAUUCAAGUUUCAAAGGGAGACAGCAAAGGGUUCAAGGGAAAAUAGUUUAAGGUAAGAAAAGAAAUACAAUUCAAGUUUUGAUAAUCAGGUACCCACCUGGAGAACAAGGGAGCAUUGUUCAAAUGUUAGAAAUAUGGCGCCUACCUGGAGAAUAAGGGAAUUCACUUCGGAAUGCAACUCAAGUCGGCAACAAAGAAAGCUCACCUGGAGAGUACAAGUCAGCAAAGUGGCAGAAACUCUAAGAUCAAGUUUGAAGAUAUAGAUAGGAUUCUUAUAAUUCAUAGAUCAUAAUUUAGUCUAGAUUCUUUUAUUUUGUCUUGGUGUAAUAAGGAGUUCAGCAAGCAGUAGUAGCAGCAACAACAGUGAAAUAACAUCUUCCUGGUAGUCCCAUCUACCGAAACUUCCUGAACUACAUUGAGGUGAUUCCUUAAUAGCUAAAGAUAUGUAGGCAACCUCAGAAGCAGGGUGCGGUCAAAUCUUUCAAAAAUUCUUCCCACAGAGUAUUCAAACGGGCAAAAAUCAUUCGUAUCCUCUCAUUUUAUCUUUGCACAAAAACUCUUCGUGUUUAUGAGCAAACAGGGCGGCGAUGAGCACGUGAUUUUUGCCCUAUAGCAGUUAUUCCCAUAAAAUACAAGAAAAAUAAUUUUUUCAUUUUAUACAAUUUUGUGGCAAUUUGUGCUGAUUGUUUGCAUUUCUAUGCGUGUUUACUUCUAUUAAAAUCAUGAAACAAUGCCAAAAACACCAUGCACUGCAUUGAGAUUUUAUUUUCACAUUUUUAGGAAUAAUUAUUUAAUUAAUUAUUUUAUUAAGUAAAAAUCACAAAAUUGGUUCACUUUUACAUUUUUAGCUUUUAAUUUUAGAUUAGUAAUUUUUAUCUUUUAAUCUAGAGUCAACUAAUUCUUAUAAAUAUAAUAGUUAAACAAUUUGCUUAAUUUUAUAAUUUAAAUUAAUUUUAGAGUUUAAUUUAGAUUUUUUAAAGAAAAUAAAGAGAGGAAGGGGGAAUUUGAAAAUAAAAGGGGUUGGUUUUAAUUCAUUGGACCAAAUUGGGGAUGAGCCCAAGUAAAAAAAUCACCCUCCCCAGCCCAUGCAAAUUACCCAGCCCCAGUCAGCCCUAUACCCCAAAAUGAUAGUACUCCAUUUUCCAACGACCCUAUU
rnacentral:lncRNA from 1 species